AACCCUAGACAGAGCCUCCAUCUACGUUCUGCCUCUGAUCCAUACUCCAUUCUGGUUCCUGUUCGAACAAGCAUCGGAUUUGGUGGCCACGAUGAUCGGAAAUGGUGGUGGUGGUCGCCUGAAAAAUCGGAUAUGAUGCUAUGGUGGUUUCACACCACCGUAUCACCGCCACUUCUUUGUCAAUCGAUCGGCUUCAACCCUAAUCUCUUCUUCAGUCGGCUUCAAGGUUUCUCUCUCCAUCAAUUUCUCACUCAUCUCCAUCGAAUUCAAGGUGUUUAUCCUUUAUUAAUGGUGAUUGGUUUCAUCCUUAUAAGUUGAGAAGUUAAACUUUCCCAUCAUUAUCAUACAAUCCUCUGUUAAAAGUCAGGUUCGCAAGCCUUAUCCUCACACCAACCCGUGUCAUUCUGUAUUGAGGCUGCCGGAAAAAAGGACUUCCAUUAUUGCUUUCUCAAGAUGAAGGCGUAAAGACAUUCAUCAUAAAUUU